CUCUCUUUGCUAGCGCUUCCA
rnacentral:miRNA from 2 species